CGGGCAAUAGCUCAGUGGUUGAGCUUCCGCUUCUUGCGUGGAAAGAGCUGGGUUCGAUUCCUGGCUGCUUAC
rfam:Toxocara canis scaffold139, whole genome shotgun sequence.